rnacentral:rRNA from 1 species
UUUAACUGAGCGUUCAGUUACUUGACGUAGACCCGAAACCGGGCGACCUACCCAUGAGCAGGAUGAAGCGAAAGUAAAAUUUCGUGGAGGUCCGAACCCACGAGCGUUGAAAAGCUCGGGGAUGACUUGUGGGUAGCGGUGAAAUUCCAAUCGAGCCCGGAGAUAGCUGGUUCUCCCCGAAAUAGCUUUAGGGCUAGCCUCAAGGUGAGAGAUACGGAGGUAGAGCACUGAAUGUCCUAGGGGGUAUUGCACCUACCGAAGACUAUCAAACUCCGAAUGCCGUCAUCUUAUACUUGGGAGUCAGACUGUGGGUGAUAAGAUUCAUAGUCGAAAGGGCAACAGCCCAGAUCGUCAGCUAAGGUCCCUAAAUGUAAGUUAAGUGGUAAAGGAUGUGGGAUUGCACAGACAACCAGGAUGUUGGCUUAGAAGCAGCCACUCAUUCAAAGAGUGCGUAAUAGCUCACUGGUCGAGUGAUCCUGCGCCGAAGAUUUCCGGGGCUAAAACUUACUACCGAAGCUACGGCAUCAGUAAUGAUGGGUAGGGGAGCUUCCCAUACGGGUUGAAGCAUGACCGUAAGGACAUGUGGACAGUAUGGGAGUGAGAAUGUUGGCAUGAGUAGCGAGAUGUGGGUGAGAAUCCCACAGGCCGUAAACCCAAGGUUUCCAGGGGAAGGUUC